rnacentral:lncRNA from 1 species
GUCCAUAGUGCAGCUUGCAUUCAUUCUUUUUCAUGGCCAAAUAAUAUACCAUUGCAUGUAUAUGGCACAUUUUGUAUAUCCAUUUAUGAGUCAAUGGACAUCAGGACUGUUUGCAGCUUUCACCUAAAAAAGGAAAUUUUUAUACAGUACAAAUUUCUCCUUCUGAUGUGAACCAGCUAUGUCUGAUUUUACUGCCAUUGUUCCCACAGGUAGUCUCUGGGUAAACUCAGAAGAGUGUGAGGGAUGAAGGUUUGCAGGCCGCAGAGAGCGAGGUCAGAUUUCCAUUGGUCAUCUCUUCAAACUGGUGCAUACGUUCUUACUAAACAAAGGUAACAUCACAACCAUGGGAAAAACUGAGCUCUUUGGAUAUAGGCGGUUAAAGCAGAAUCCGACUCCAAGGGCAGAAUAUGGAGAAUGUUGCGUACAGGAGUCAGUCUGGGUGAAAAAAAAUAUUACAGAAGUUGAAAGACAGGGUCUUCCUCUGUCACCCAAGCUGGAGUGCCGUUGUCUAAAGACAGCUCACUGCUGCCUCAAACUCCGUGGCUCCUGGGAUCAUCCUGCUUCAGCUACUUGAGUAGCUAGGACUGAAGAAGCUUUGUUGGAAGGUCUCUCUAUGAUUUGGAUACUGCCCCCACUGGAACAUCAACCUGACUCACUGGUCUUCUAAAAGCGCCUAAAAUUCAUCUUUUAUUCUCCAGACAAAUGAUGCCAAGACAACAGUCUAAAUUCAACCAAUCGUCCAGAUACUCUGAUCUUUGUCCCCAUUGAAAACCUGC